GGACUACAAGGGUUUCUAAUCCCGUUUGCUCCCCUGGCUUUCGCGCCUCAGCGUCAGAAAAGGUCCAGCGUGCCGCCUUCGCCACCGGAGUUCCUAUUGAUAUCAACGCAUUUCACCGCUCCACCAAUAGUUCCGCACGCCCCUACCUCCCUCGAGGUACCCAGUAUCCACGGCAGUUCGACAGUUAAGCUGCCGGAUUUCACCACAGACUUGGAUACCCGCCUACGCGCCCUUUAAGCCCAGUGAUUCCGAAUAACGUUCGCUCGGUUCGUCUUACCGCGGCUGCUGGCAC
rnacentral:rRNA from 1 species